GUGGUGUGUGAGGUCUGUGUGUGGUGUCAAUGUGAGGUCUGUGUCUGGUGUGUGUGUGAGGUCUGUGUGUGUGAAUGUGGGGUCUGUGUGUGUGGGGUAUAUGUGUGUGAUGUGUGUGUGUAGUGUGUGAGGUCUGUGUAUGGUGUGUGUGAGGUCUGUGUGUGGUGUCAAUGUGAGGUCUGUGUCUGGUGUGUGUGUGAGGUCUGUGUGUGUGAAUGUGGGGUCUGUGUGUGUGUGGUAUAUGUGUGUGAUGUGUGUGUGUAGUGUGUGAGGUCUGUGUAUGGUGUGUGUGAGGUCUGUGUGUGUGUGGUGUGUGAGGUCUGUGUGUGGUGUCAAUGUGAGGUCUGUGUCUGGUGUGUGUGUGAGGUCUGUGUGUGUGAAUGUGGGGUCUGUGUGUGUGUGGUAUAUGUGUGUGAUGUGUGUGUGUAGUGUGUGAGGUCUGUGUAUGGUGUGUGUGAGGUCUGUGUGUGUGUGGUGUGUGAGGUCUGUGUGCAGUGUGUGUGUGAGGUCUGUGUGUGUGUGUAUUGUGUGAGGUCUGUGUGUGUGUGGUGUGUGUAAGGUUUGUGUGUAUGUGAUGUGUGAGGUCUGUGUGUGUGUGGUGUGUGUGAGGUCUGUGUGUGUGGUGUGUGCAGUGUGAGUGUAUGUCUGUGUGGUGGCAUCUGUGUGUGUGUGGUGUGUGGGGUCUGUGUGUGUGUGAGGUCUGUGUGUGGUGUGUGUGUUAGGUCUGUGUGUGUGGUGUGUGAGGUCUAUGUGUGUGUGUGGUGUGUGUGAGGUCUGUGUGUGGUGUUUGUGUGAGGUCUGUGUGUGUGUGGUGUGUGAGGUCUGUAUGUGUGUGUGUGGUGUGUCUGAGGUCUGUGUGUGGUGUGUGUGUGAGGUCUGUGUGUGUGUGGUGUGUGCAGUGUGAGUGUAUGUCUGUGCGGUGGCAUCUGUGUGUGUGGUGUGUGAGGUCUGUGUGUAGUGUCAAUGUGAGGUCUGUGUGUGGUGUCUGUGUGAGAUCUGUGUGUGUGUGAGGUUUGUGUGUGUGGUGUGUGUGAGGUCUGUGUGUGGUGUGUGAGGUUUGUGUGUGUGUGGUGUGUGUGAGGUCUGUGUGUGGUGUGUGAGGUCUGUGUGUGUGUGUGAGAUCUGUAUGUGUGAGGUCUGUGUCUGUGUGUGGUGUGUGAGGUUUGUGUGUGUGUGUGGUGUGAGAUCUGUAUGUGUGAGGUCUGUGUCUGUGUGUGGUGUGUGAGGUUUGUGUGUGUGUGUGGUGUGAGAUCUGUGUGUGUGUGAGGUCUGUGUGUGGUGUGUGAGAUCUGUAUGUGUGAGGUCUGUGUGUGUAGUGUGUGAGGUUUGUGUGUGUGAGGUCUGUGUGUGGUGUGUGAGGUCUGUGUGUGUGUGGUGUGUGUGAGGUCUGUGUGUGGUGUGUGAGGUUUGUGUGUGUGUGGUGUGUGUGAGGUCUGUGUGUGUGGUGUGUGAGGUCUGUGUGUGUGUGGUGUGUGAGGUCUGUGUGUGUGGUGUGUCUGAGGUCUGUGUGUGGUGUGUGUGUGGUGUGUGCAGUGUGUGUGUAUCUGCGGUGGCAUCUGUGUGUGGGUGGUGUGUGAGGUCUGUGUGGAGGUCUGUGUGUGGUGUCAAUGUGAGGUCUCUGUGUGGUGUGUGAGGUCUGUAUGUGUGUGUGUGUGUGUGGUGUGUCUGAGGUCUGUGUGUGUGGUGUGUGAGGUCUGUGUGUGUGUGGUGUGUCUGAGGUCUGUGUGUGUGGUGUGUGAGGUCUGUAUGUGUGUGUGAGGGCUGUGUGUGAGGUCUGUGUGUGUGUGGUGUGAGAUCUGUGUGUGUGUGAGGUCUGUGUGUGUGUGGUCUGUGUGUGGUGUGUGUGUGAGGUCUGUAUGUGUGUGAGGUCUGUGUGUGGUGUGUGAGAUCUGUAUGUGUGAGGUCUGUGUCUGUGUGUCGUGUGUGAGGUCUGUGUGUGGUGUGAGAGCUGUGUGUGUGUGAGGUCUGUGUGUGGUGUGUGAGGUUUGUAUGUGUGUGGUGUGUGUGAGGUCUGUGUGUGGUGUGUGAAGUUUGUGUGUGUGUGUGGUAUGUGUGAGGUCUGUGUGUGGUGUGUGAGGUUUGUGUGUGUGUGUGGUGUGAGAUCUGUGUAUGUGUGAGGUCUGUGUGUGCUGUGUGAGGUUUGUGUGUGUGUGGUGUGUGAGGUCUGUGUGUGUGUGGUGUGUGCAGUGUGAGUGCGUGUAUGUGUGUGGUGACAUCUGUGUGUGUGUGGUGUGUGAGGUCCGUGUGUGUGUGGUGUGUGUGAGGUCUGUGUGUGGUAUGUGAGGUUUGUGUGUGGUGUGAGAUCUGUGUGUAUGAGGUCUGUGUGGUGUGUGAGGUUUGUGUGUGAGGUCUGCGUGUGUGCUGUGUGCAGUGUGAGUGCGUGUAUGUCUGUGUGGUGGCGUCUGUGUGUGUGUGGUGUGUGAGGUCCGUGUGUGUGUGGUGUGAGGUCUGUGUGUGUGGCGUGUGUGAGUGGGUGUAUGUGUGUGUCUGUGUGGGUGUUGUAUGUGUGUGUCGUGUGUGUUUGGGGGCUGAGGUCCCAUGUAGACAGAAGUCAGUGCCAAAGCCACAAACUCCUCCCGACCCCCCGCCUGCCAUUUGAACACUUGUCCCGACAUGCCCUGUCCUGGGGCGCCAGGACCCACUCACUCAUUUACUCCUUGCUGGGGCUGCCUUGGCUCCCCGAGAGGUGGGCGGGAGGCGAGCAUGAGGAGAGAGGGGCGGCUGGGUC
rnacentral:lncRNA from 10 species